AGUGAACGCUGGCGGUAGGCCUAACACAUGCAAGUCGAACGGCAGCACAGUAAGAGCUUGCUCUUACGGGUGGCGAGUGGCGGACGGGUGAGGAAUACAUCGGAAUCUACUUUUUCGUGGGGGAUAACGUAGGGAAACUUACGCUAAUACCGCAUACGACCUACGGGUGAAAGCAGGGGAUCUUCGGACCUUGCGCGAUUGAAUGAGCCGAUGUCGGAUUAGCUAGUUGGCGGGGUAAAGGCCCACCAAGGCGACGAUCCGUAGCUGGUCUGAGAGGAUGAUCAGCCACGCUGGAACUGAGACACGGUCCAGACUCCUACGGGAGGCAGCAGUGGGGAAUAUUGGACAAUGGGCGCAAGCCUGAUCCAGCCAUACCGCGUGAGUGAAGAAGGCCUUCGGGUUGUAAAGCCCUUUUGUUGGGAAAGAAAAGCAGCAGGUUGAUACCCCGCUGUUCUGACGGUACCCAAAGAAUAAGCACCGGCUAACUUCGUG
rnacentral:rRNA from 1 species